UACGUAGGGUGCAAGCGUUGUCCGGAAUUAUUGGGCGUAAAGAGCUCGUAGGCGGUCUGUCGCGUCUGCUGUGAAAACUCAGGGCUUAACCCUGAGCUUGCAGUGGGUACGGGCAGACUAGAGUGCGGUAGGGGAGACUGGAAUUCCUGGUGUAGCGGUGAAAUGCGCAGAUAUCAGGAGGAACACCGGUGGCGAAGGCGGGUCUCUGGGCCGUAACUGACGCCUGGAGGAGCGGAAAGCAUGGGGAGCGAACAG
rnacentral:rRNA from 1 species